rnacentral:rRNA from 1 species
CGGGACGGGUGAGUAACGCGUGGGUAACCGUGCCUUGUACAGGGGGAUAACAGUUGGAAACGGCUGCUAAUACCGCAUAAGCGCACGGCAUCGCAUGAUGCAGUGUGAAAAACUCCGGUGGUAUAAGAUGGACCCGCGUUGGAUUAGCUAGUUGGUGAGGUAACGGCCCACCAAGGCGACGAUCCAUAGCCGACCUGAGAGGGUGACCGGCCACAUUGGGACUGAGACACGGCCCAA